rnacentral:tRNA from 1 species
CGGCGUUCUACUACGGCGUCGUCCGCGCCCUCGCCGAGGAGGCCAGGCCGGUCUGGACCCGGCUGCCGUUCGAGGCGGCGGCCGCCAAC